AUUAAACGCUGGCGGCAUGCCUUACACAUGCAAGUCGAACGGUAGCGCGGGGCAACCUGGCGACGAGUGGCGAACGGGUGAGUAAAGCAUCGGAACGUGCCCUGGAAUGGGGGAUAACGUAGCGAAAGUUACGCUAAUACCGCAUAUUCUGUGAGCAGGAAAGCAGGGGAUCGCAAGACCUUGCGUUCUGGGAGCGGCCGAUGUCGGAUUAGCUAGUUGGUGGGUAAAGACCUACCAAGGCGACGAUCCGUAGCGGGUCGUGAGAGGAUGAUCCGCCACACUGGGACUGAGACACGGCCCAGACUCCUACGGGAGGCAGCAGUGGGGGAAGUUUUGGUACAAAUGGGCGGAAGCCUGAUCCAGCCAUGCCGCGUGAGUGAAG
rnacentral:rRNA from 1 species